rnacentral:rRNA from 1 species
GGGCCCGCACAAGCGGUGGAGCAUGUGGUUUAAUUCGAUGAUACGCGAGGAACCUUACCAGGGCUUAAAUGUAGUCUGACAGGGGUGGAAACACCCCCUCCUUCGGGCAGAUUACAAGGUGCUGCAUGGUUGUCGUCAGCUCGUGCCGUGAGGUGUCAGGUUAAGUCCUAUAACGAGCGCAACCCCUGCCGUUAGUUGCCAGCAUGUAAUGAUGGGAACUCUAACGGGACUGCCGGUGCAAACCGCGAGGAAGGUGGGGAUGACGUCAAAUCAUCACGGCCCUUACGUCCUGGGCUACACACGUGCUACAAUGGCCGGUACAGAGGGCAGCCACACCGCAAGGUGGAGCGAAUCCUUAAAACCGAUCUCAGUUCGGAUUGGAGUCUGCAACUCGACUCCAUGAAGUUGGAAUCGCUAG